CUACGGGUUGCUGCAGUGGGGAAUAUUGCACAAUGGAGGAAACUCUGAUGCGGCAACGCCGCGUGGAGGAUGACACUUUUCGGAGCGUAAACUCCUUUUAUAUAGGAAGAAGAUGACGGUACUAUAUGAAUAAGCGCCGGCUAACUCCGUGCCAGCAGCCGCGGUAAUAUGGAGGGCGCAAGCGUUACUCGGAAUCACUGGGCGUAAAGAGCGUGUAGGCGGAUUAAAAAGUCAGAAGUGAAAUCCUAUAGCUUAACUAUAGAACUGCUUCUGAAACUCUUAAUCUAGAAUAUGGGAGAGGUAGAUGGAAUUUCUGGUGUAGGGGUAAAAUCCGUAGAGAUCAGAAGGAAUACCGAUUGCGAAGGCGAUCUACUAGAACAUUAUUGACGCUGAGACGCGAAAGCGUGGGGAGCAAACAGGAUUAGAUACCCUGGUAGUC
rnacentral:rRNA from 1 species